CAGGGCAAAAAGGGUGAAAACCCUAGCUUCAUGAAUCAAGCAAUUGAAGGCUUAAAUCAAAAGAAAAUCUGAUGCAUGAGCUCAAAUUUCGAAUAGGAAGUUCCAAUUUGUGAAGUAACGUGAAAGAAGAAGGUUCCAACACUAGGAAAUCGGAAGGCUCUCAAGAUCGAGGUAAAUCCUCAAUGUAGGCGACUUGGCAAAUUGGAGCGAGCAUAUGCACACUUUAUGAACAUCAAGCGCUUCCGCUAUUAUGUAUUAAUGUUUUGGGUCAAAUGUCCGUUUUUGGUAUGACAUUGUUAGUAGUUACAUUUGUUAAUACUUGGUGUAUGGUCUUAGUCGUGUCUAGUCGAACGGGUCGUAAACUUGUUUGUUUGUUGAUGGUUAAUACAGGGAUACACUCGUCUUACGGACGGGUCAUGCCCAAAUUUCGUUAAAA